rnacentral:tmRNA from 2 species
GCCUGAAUCGGCACUGUUUUUCUCUGAGCCAGCCGCCUAUAUUGGGGGUGCCGGUUCGCCGGCUAUGGAAAUAAAUGACCGUCGCAAUAAACCAUUCGGACCCGGGGGCGGUACCCGGCGCCUCCACCAAAGCCCAUCCGGGGAACGUUUCCAGGGUGGCUUUUGGCGGGGGCGAAAUAGGAUCGACGAGGGCGUAAAGGGCGCGUUUUUUCUCGGUAUGGUUCCGCCGACAUCGGGCCAAUGCAAUAGUUGCCAACGACAACUUUGCUCCGGUUGCUCAGGCUGCGUAACGCAGUUUGAAAGACCAUCUUAAAGUCCUAGCGGGUUAAGCUCCGCUAGGCG